CAGGUGUCAAAGACAUCAUCACAGACUGAAGGAGCCUGGAUCCUGCCUCACUGCUGGGAGGAGUUGCCUUCCUGGGGGAGGCCCCUGGACCAGCAUCGUCCACUUGGACUUCAGGGCCAGGGCCUCUCACACCCACCUGAGCCCACACCCCACCUUGCGCCCUUGUUCCAGUGUGGAGUCAGGUUCCUCAUGCAUCUGCUAUGGGGCCCGAGUUCCUGUAACUCCCCAUCGAUGCUGCUGCCGCUGGUCACCACUUUGAGCAGCAAGGAUGUAGAAGAGAGAGCGGCUUGGAUUUGGACCCAGCUUUUCUGACCUCAUAGCUCGGCACUCAACCCCCAGGCAGAGCACUUGGAGCUGCUCAAGUCCAGAUGGGGCAGUCUAGGCGACUUCCUGGAAGAGGGGCUGGGAUUCUCUCUGACCCCAGGAGUCUGGGUGUACAUGGCUCAGCAUGAAACAGCCUCCUGAGAAAUGUUGCCUCCAGAAGGCUCUUCCGAGAGCAAACUCUGAGGAGCUCGCAGACCGACCCGGGGUGCACAGUCAUUUGUUCCUGAUUGAGCAAAAUGUCACAGGUCACCGUGGGACCAUGUUUAAUGCACACGCCUGUCUGCUUCCCUCUCCUCUCACAGCCUGUGACUCUCCAAGCUUCCCCUCUGCCUCCCGGCUUCUCCCGUCCCUCUGCAGAGCCCCUUUAUUUCUGCCCCCUCCCUGCCCUCCCUUCUGUACUUCCCUUCUCCUCCCUCCCUCUCUCUUCCCUCUGGUAUUUUUGAUUCUGCUUUGUGCCCUGUGUGUUCUAGGCUCCGACGAAACAACAGCGGUGAGAUGGACACAGCCCUGCCCCACCCUGGGGCCUCCAGCCUGUCAAGGAAGACAACAGAGGGAGGUGACGACGGUGGACCUACGCCCGCGCUCUGGAGACUUGUCCUCUCACAGGACCGUGGUGGGGAGAGUGGCACAAAAAUCAGCAAUGACAAUCCAGAGACACUCCCAGGGUGCAGUGAAAGUGCAAAGUGGGAGGGGUGACUAACCCUGGGUAUCACAGAGGGCUUGGGGACACUUGAGCCGAGUGUUCAGAUGAAUGGGUGUAAGUAGGAGAAGGCAGUGCCAGGGCACAGCAUGUCAUGAGGACCCUCUUCCAAGGUUGUAGUUAUUGAUUGAAUGAAUGAAUGAAUGAAUGAAUCUAAUCAAGACCCUUCUUUUGGCAGCAGAGCUGGAUCUAAUGCCCUCCUGGCCCUAUCAGAGCCGGGUAAGCUCUGACACCUGCCCAGGUAGCCCUCUGCCCAGGCAGCCCUCUGUAUCUCUGCGAGACAAAGACAUUUCUCCUGAUGCCAGAGGCCUCCCAGGGGCUUUGGAGCCUCAUCUGUCCCAAGAGUCUCCUGCUUAGGAUCCUGGAAGCCCUAGGUGCCCCCAGCCCUGGGUUUCUCUGUCCGUGGGUUUGCUCUCAGCUUCCAAGAAGCAGCAGAGUCGUGGAGAAGGACAUAAACCUUGUCUCUGCCCUUUAGCAGCUGUGUGACCUGGAGCAAGUCACCACACCUCUCUGAGCCUCAGUGCUCUCCUCUGGAAACUACGGCUGACUGUAUUGAUGCCCACCAGUAAUUUGUUAUAGUGAUCCCAGUUCUGGUAGAUUGAUGGCGAAAAUGCCCCAGUGCCCACCCCCCGGUACCCACACUCUGUGACUCACGGUGGGCUUCUUCCCUAUCUUCUGUGUAUGAGCCAUCUGGUGACUUAGCUUUGGCUGAUAGAUAGGCCACAUGCGAGGUUGUGCCGAUUCUAAGCCUAUGUCUCAAGGGGCCGUGCGUGCUUAUGCUCACACUCUUGCAAAUCGGAAACCUCCAUUUGAACAAGCCGAGGCCCACCUGCUGCAGGACCAAAGGCCACACGAGGCCCCCAAAUAUGUGAGGAAGCCAGCCAACACCAGCAAAGCCAGCCCACAGAUGAGCCGCCAGCCGACUGCACAAGCCCGAGGGAGCCUGGCCAAACCAGAGGAGCCGUGCAGCUGGCCAGAAGACUCGGGCACUAAAUAAACAGCGCUUGACCUAAGCCAGCAGCCUGUGUGGUUGUGAUCCACCAUCGCUGUGGGAAUGCACGACAGGAACACACCCCACAGGGCUGCGGUGAAGAUGAAACAAGUUUGUAGAUAUAAAGGGCUUGGGAGCCUCUGCCUGGCACCCAGGAAGCUCUAAAUGGCAUUAGCUGUUGUUAUUACCCGCGGGCUGUCCGGUCCUCAGGUGGAGCCUGUUCUUGUCACCAAAAUCAAGGUCUGGAUGGACAGUACCCUCAGUGCUUGUAACGUCAUCACCAGCCCGGACACCAUGGUGCUGCUACUUGGUGGCUGUGUGACCUUGGGGAAGUGUCUUCACCUCUCUGAAUUUGCAUUUGCUCAUUUGCAAAGUGGGUACCAGGAUGGCAACCUGGCAGAGUUGCUGGGAGCCGCCGUCUGCUCUGCAGUCACCCAAGUUGAGCUGGCCCAUGUUCCUGCUCCUGGAAACACUGGCGGAGGACGUGAAAUGGAUGGAUGUGGGAGCCCACCGUGAGGGGCACCAUUUAAGGGACUGCGCGGGGAAGGAGAGGGACACAGGCCUGAUGACUCUCGGUCCCGUAAGGCCUGGCUGUAUGCUAUGUCCUUUCCCCAGACCCGCUUUACUGAGCUGGGUGUCUGGGUCUCUCUUGUUCAUGUCUAAAUGGCCCUGGCUGGCCUUUCCUUUCUCACCUGAUGAGAGAGCCAGCUGGUCAUUACAGCUGCCCAGGCGUGUCUCACAGGCUCCGGCCCCCCCGAGACAUUAGGGAAAUAGCUGUCCCCUCAAAUUCCUGGGGGACAGGGACUUCAUUGUUCUUAUUUAUCCUCAUACCCCCUCACGGAACACAGUGCCAGGCACUUGGUUGGUGCUCAGUAAGCACGUGUCAAAUGACUGAACGAACGUCACGCAGAUGUGGACGCUCAUCAUUCCCAUCUCCUCCUCCUCGGGGAGUCGUCCUGCUCCCUCCAAGCUGAAGCAAACACUCCCACCUUCAGACAGUACUGUUCCGACACCUCCCUCCAUCAUGGCUCACCUUGCUGUGGACUGGGGGUUAAUCUGGAAACAUGGAUGUGAUCACCUCAACCCUGCUUCCUGCACUUUGCCCCCCACUUAAAACACUCCACUGGUGCCCCUGCUGUUGGGAUGAAGAUCCCAAUCCAGAAAGUGGCAUUCAAGGUCCUCACAGCAUCUUGUUUCUGUCCCUCUCCAGGCUGCCACCCACCUCCUGCCCUCCAACCACACAGGCCUUGGAGUUCUUCCCGGUUGCCAAGAGCCCUCCAGCCAUUGGGCCUUUGCACAUGCUGUUUCCUGGUCUGAAGACUCUUCCUCAGCCCCCAAGCUCACCUGAUAACUGGUUUAUUCUUCAGAUCACAGCUGGAGGGUCACCUCCUUGGGUAAAACCUGAAAAUACCCCCUUACACACUUUCAUAGCACCCUGAGCCUCUCAUUUAGAGCACUUGCAAUUUUACACUUCUUUGUUAUUCUAGAUUUCUCUCUAUCUCUCCCUCUAGACUGUAGGCAGGGACCUUGAUGGUUUUGCUUACCUUUGACUCUCCUAACACAGUGGCUGUCACA